rnacentral:rRNA from 1 species
AUUGAACGCUAGUGGUAUGCUUAACACAUGCAAGUCGAACGGCAGCAUCAUAUAGGGUAACCUAUAUGGAUGGCGAGUGGCGGACGGGUGAGUAAUACGUAAGAAUCUACCUUGGUGAGAGGGAUAACUUCGAGAAAUCGAAGCUAAUUCCACAUAAUGUUGUAAAACCAAAAGCAGGGGAUCCAUAAGGACCUUGCGCACUGAGAUGAGCUUACGGCGGAUUAGCUAGUUGGUAGAGUAAAAGCCUACCAAGGCGAUGAUACGUAGCGGGUCUUAUGAGGAUGGCCCGCCACACUGGGACUGAGACACGGCCCAGACUCCUACGGGAGGCAGCAGUGGGGAAUCUUGGACAAUGGGGGAAACCCUGAUCCAGCAAUACCACGUGUGUGAAGAAGGCCUUCGGGUUGUAAAGCACUUUAGGGGGGGAAGAAGUAGCUUAUACUAAUAAUAUAAGUCUAUUGACGGUACCCUCAGAAUAAGUACCGGCUAACUCUGUGCCAGCCGCCGCCGUAAAAC